rnacentral:sRNA from 1 species
ACUUAUAAUUUCUUGAAAACUUAUAAAUUGAAUUUUAAAAGAAAUUUAAACAUUAUAAAUAUAUAUAAAAUAUAUUAAUACGAGACGAUAUAUUACAUGAAAAAUCUUAAAUAUAAUCAAGGUCGAUAUUGUAUUUUUUGUAAGUUUCAAAUUUUAUAAUAUUGAAAUUUAUAAGAAAAUGACAAAAUUAUGUUUAAUUUCACGGGACUGGGUUAUAUGGUAGGAAGGGUUUGGGUGGAUAAUAAUUAUGAUUAUACAAUGUCCCACAUCGCUUAAAAAAAUUGGACAAUGGUUCAGAGCCAUACUAUAAAAAGGACCAAAAUGAUUUAGAUUAGGAAUGAGCAUGAAACUUGAUUUAUGAGGUGUCCAAAAUUAAAAUAGUUUGUUUACUAGGGUUAUUUAUUUUAAAGAAUUGAAACUUUAAAAAGUUUCAAAAAAUUAUAAAU